rnacentral:rRNA from 1 species
AGCAGCCGCGGUAAUUCCAGCUCCAAUAGCGUAUAUUAAAGUUGUUGCAGUUAAAAAGCUCGUAGUUGGAUUUCGGGAUCAAUUAAUUGGUCGUGCCUCUGGUACGUACUGAUUUUAUUGGUUUCUCCCUUCUGACGAACCAUGAUGUCAUUAAUUUGGUGUCGUGGAGAAUCAGGACUGUUACUUUGAAAAAAUUAGAGUGUUUAAAGCAAGCUAACGCUUGAAUACAUUAGCAUGGAAUAAUGAAAUAGGACGUUUGAUCCUAUUUUGUUGGUUUCUAGGAUCGACGUAAUGAUUAAUAGGGAUAGUUGGGGGCAUUAGUAUUCAAUUGUCAGAGGUGAAAUUCUUGGAUUUAUUGAAGACUAACUACUGCGAAAGCAUUUGCCAAGGAUGUUUUCAUUAAUCAAGAACGAAAGUUAGGGGAUCGAAGACGAUCAGAUACCGUCGUAGUCUUAACCAUAAACUAUGCCGACUAGGGAUCGGAUGAUGUUAAUUUUUUAAUGACUCAUUCGGCGCCUUACG